CAGUCUGGUCAUCUUAAACUCCUGGGCUCAAGCCAUCACCUCAUCUCAGCCUCCUGACAUCCUCCUGGGACAUACAGCGAUGGCCCCCACACCUGGAAGGACUCAAGCUCUGAAUCCAGCACCUUCAGGAAGCAAGUGAUGGCAUCCCAGAGGCCCUAUGCUUGAGACAGACUGACGAAAACAGGUGGAUCUAGGUAAAAUCAGUCUCUGCUACCCUCCUCAUCUAAACCCUCAGUGCAGGGCCACCUUGGAAGCCAUGUGUUAACACUGAGUGAUCCUCCUCAGCCAAGUCCCUAAUGCAUGGAAAAGAACCUCCUGACCCAGUCCCCAAAGGCUGGACUUUUCCUUUGCAAGAAAUAAGGAGGGUAAAGUUCACCAUAAAUAACAAAGUCAUGGAGUCAAGCUGUCACAAUUGGCCACCGUUCCUAAGGCAUUUGAAUUGUAUGCAUUGACAGGAAAAAGCAGGAAGGAGUGAAGACAGAACAAGGGGAGAAUGUAACCUGAGUUGGAAGGUGUAAUAUUUAAAUGUAUUUGCAAACCUGUUUUGGGCCAAAAGGGGUAGGAGGAAGAGAAGACGCAUUUGCUGAGAUCUAUUAUAUGCCAAUUGGAGGACUACAGAUUUCACAAUUCACAUCUGUUGUCUUAUUUCUUUCUCAUAAUCCCAAAGAUAAUUCUAAAGUUACACAUUAUCAUCUCCAUUUACAAUUAAGAACUGAUGCUCCAAGAAGAAAGAUCUCACAGUGUGUAGGCAACAGACCUAAGAUUCAAACCUAUAUUGGUGGGUGUUAAUGUCCUUGUUCUUUCUGAUGUAAGCAUGUAACAUUUCCACAUCUCUGAUUCCAUGCUCAAGGUGGGCCAAGCCAUGCUGCUUGUAAGACAGGGUGCCUGUGAUGACACAAGUCAUUAAUGCAAGUGUUAAGUGCCAUGCAAGCACAGAAGCCACUUAAAAUGGGUUUUCGGAAAUGAAAGCUGGGCUCAAACAGAGCCCACUUUCAAGGGGGCCUGGUUUAAGUGGCCAAACUCUCAAGAAGAAAGGCAUUAAAGGAAGAGCCUUUCUGCUGGGCUGGCAAAACUUUAGGUUCAUGAAUUCAGGAGGAGACUGAGGAGGAGAAAACAGGGUUUUAGAAUGCAGCCUCAGGAGCUGCCUGCACCUCUCAGGCCAGGAGGUUGGCUUUUCCAAUUGUGCGAUUAAGCUAUUCUACCCAGCCCCACCUCUCAUUUUCAAUUAAUCUGCACUAAUGAAUUCAACAACCAAAAUGCAUUUGCUAAUUGAGGUGCUUGCUGGCCAGGUCAUCCGCGCUCCCUUGUCUAACAGCUGGUACUCCCCACUGUGCCACGGUAAAGUAGGGUAGUAGAGGCCUCUGCUCCCCUCAUCCCCUGCUGCCCCUGAGGGGAAUACCCAGUGGGCAAGAAAAGGCCCAGCCUGGGAGAGAAUGCUCAUAAUAUAUUACUAAGUCACAGACAGAAAUUGCUCCUCCGGGCAGUCUUUCACUUUUUGUUUCUAAGUGAAAGCUCAUGACCAUCCCAGCCAUAUUAUCUCCCUGGCCCUUGGAAGCUGUUAUGUAAUGGAAAGGGCAUUAAACUCAGGCCAGGAAAUUCUUG
rnacentral:lncRNA from 1 species